GUAGGGGGCGAGCGUUGUCCGGAUUUAUUGGGCGUAAAGAGCUCGUAGGCUGCUUCGCAAGUCGGACGUGAAAUCCCACGGCUUAACUGUGGGCGGCCGUUCGAUACUGCGAGGCUAGAGGCCGGUAGGGGGACGUGGAAUUCCUGGUGUAGCGGUGAAAUGCGCAGAUAUCAGGAGGAACACCGGUGGCGAAGGCGGCGUCCUGGGCCGGUCCUGACGCUGAGGAGCGAAAGCUGGGGGAGCAGACAGGAUUAGAUACCCUGGUAGUCCCAGCCGUAAACGAUGGGUGCUAGGUGUGGGAGGCUAUCGACGCCCUCCGUGCCGCAGCUAACGCAUUAAGCACCCCGCCUGGGGAGUACGGCCGCAAGGCUA
rnacentral:rRNA from 1 species